rnacentral:rRNA from 1 species
UCAAGAUGAGAUUUCCCAUUCCUAUAAGGAAGUAAGAUCCCUGAAAGAUGAUCAGGUUGAUAGGUCUGAGGUGGAAGUGUGGCGACACAUGGAGCUGACAGAUACUAAUCGAUCGAGGACUUAACCUAAA